rnacentral:lncRNA from 1 species
AUCUUUUCUUAUAUCCCUCUACAGCAAAGAAAAACAUAAGAGAAAAUCAUGAAGAAAUUAAACAUUACACAUAGUAACACAACUAUCAAUCAUAAAUAAGUACAAUUCAUAAAAGGUGUAAGACAUCCCAAGCACGUCCUCUUUCUUUGCUGCUCCCUCAGACCAGCUAAGUAUUCCAUAUUGUUCAACAUUGUUUUCUGCACAAUCAUAUUUAUAGGCUCUGGUUUAUUGUUUAUAUUCCCUGAUUGCUUUAGUGUGUUUCCCUUCUAUUUCUGUCCUUUCUUCUGCCUCUGGGUGGAGAGCACCCCCACGCCCCAUUUGGGUUCACGUUGCCACUUGGCACAUUAGUUUGGGCUGUUCAGGCUCCCUCUCUCUUGGAGGCAGGCUUUUUUCCCCUUCCUGCAGACCUUAUCUUGGUCACCAACGUGGGCUGUGGCUCUCUGGACCAUUUUGUGAUGCCAUGCCUGCGCUUUCACUUACAGUGGACAGGUCUACGAUGACUGAUCUUGCCUGUGAUCAAGCCCUUUACACACACAGCUUUCUGGCAAACCUGUCCCUGAGGCAGUUACAACUCACACUGGAGUGUAUGGUGGUCUUGUGAAUGGACAUGAAAAACCCAGAAGACCUCUGUCAUGCACAUUCUGUGGAGAGGGAGCCCAAGAGCACAUUGCUCAAUACUCGGUGUCACGAACGUACCCUACUCCAAGAGUGUGCGUGACUUCGUUCUGGUGGCGAAGGGGUUAAACUUCACUAUUUAUCUGCACUAAAUUGGAAAUAAUGAUAAAAAUCUUCCUUAACACCACCCACACUUAUCCAUAAUAAUAUAAAUAUUACUAUUUUAACACUGCCACCACCAAGACAAUUUAUAAAUGGGGUGCCUUGGUCCCUCAAGUAAAUCAGAAUAAAACCCUACCAAAUACAAUUUAGCACAAUACCUAUGCUAUUGCAAAAGACUCGUGAAUUUGUCUCUUUAGGUAACCAGACAAAGGCAGAACUUAAUAAAGGAAUAUUUAUUAUGAAUAAAAAUAUAGAUGACAAUCAGAUUAGUUACACCAACAACAGAUUAAAAACAAAAAGGAUAAAUUAACAAGUCCUACACACUUUGGUUUUAAAAGUAAAACUUCUGCCCAGGGGUUCUCCGGCAAAGAAAGAUGGUGACUAACUCAAAAUUGGAUUUUGGUCCCAAGCAAGUACAAUAUACAUUUACACAACAUUGGAUAUUUACUCUCUGGAUUCAUCUCAGACAAGUUUCCAUGUCUGGCCAAGGGGUGGAGAUAAGGUUUACCUAAAGAAACUUAUAGUAAUCAAUCACUCAUAGUAAUCAAUAAGUGAUUACCCCCUUUUGUUCCAGACCAACAUCAAUCCAAAUAGAACCAACAGUUUCUAUCUCCUCUUUUGUACUUGCCACAGAAGUAAUAAUUGCAUCUAGGAAUUUGUUACCAUUUUCCCAUUCCAUAAAUAUGUCACACUUAUUACUUGUAACCUAAUAUAGCAGACAUCACAAUUCCUUAUUAAAGAUAAUAAAAAAAAAUUAAUCUAUGGGUAAGUAUUAACGUUUCUUUUGGAUAUGAUAUUGGAGCACAAGGGUUUUCUUAAAGGACCACUAUAGUGCCAGGAAAACAUACUCGUUUUCCUGGCACUAUAGUGCCCUGAGGGUGCCCCCACCCUCAGGGACCCCCUCCCGCCGGGCUCUGGGGAGAGGAAGGGGUUAAAAUCGUACCUUUCUCCAUCGCUGGGCGAGGAGCUCUCCUCCACCUCUCCGCCUCCUCUUCGGCUGAAUGCUCAUGCGCGGCAGGAGCUGCGGGCGAAUUCAGCCAGUCUCAUAGGAAAGCAUUCAUAAUGCUUUCCUAUGGACGCUUGCGUCUCUCACUGUGAUUUUCACAGUGAGAAGCACGCAAACGCCUCUAGCGGCUGUCAAUGAGACAGCCACUAGAGGCUUUAGAGGCUGGAUUAACCUAUUUAUAAACACAGCAGUUUCUCUGAAACUGCUAUGUUUAUAAAAAAAAAAAGGGUUAACCCUAGCUGGACCAGGCACCCAGACCACUUCAUUAAGCUGAAGUGGUCUGGGUGCCUAUAGUGGUCCUUUAAAAGCUAAAGGCCAUUAACAUAUCAAAGGACUCCCUAUCUUGGAAGGGAUCUAGACAUAUGGCAAAUUAGAGAGUUUGUUUAUAUUUAAGGAGACUCAGAGGCAACUCAUGUGUGCAUUUCACACUUUGCAGAAGCCUUCUUAGAUCAAAAGGGUAAUUCAUGUUGUAAACCAUCUGACCUCUAUCACAUUCCUAUAUAAUUUACAAUAACCCAUUCUGACAUCUGUCCUCUAUAAUCAAAUUGGCCCUUUCACCUCUACCAAGUGGUCAAUUCAUAUAUGAACUACACAAAUUACAUUAAAUGGCAAUAUUCUAUAGUGCAAUAACAAUAAUGUAUGCACCAUUGGUGUGACACUUCCUCCAAAUAAAAGAUGCAGUGGGAGGAGGCUCAUAUGCCUCUACCUUGCGUAUUAGGUGGAGUCCCCUACGCCGGCACGACAAACCAUCAGCGUUGCCAUGUGUACUUCCCUUUUUGUGCUGUAUGGUAAACUCAAAUUGCUGGAGAACUAGGCUCCACCUGAGGAGUUUCCCCAUUUGUCCCAGCCACCCUAUGUAACCAAUGUAGAGGGUUGUGAUCGGUAAUCACGGUAAACUGGCGCCCAUACAGGGUAUGGCUGCAGUUUUUGCAAAGCCCAAACUAUAGCCAAACACUUUUUUUCUACAGUGGCACAGGCCAUUUCCCUAGGUAGCAGUUUCCGGCUGAGAUACACAACAGGAUGUUCAUCCUUCGUCUCAUUCACCGGACUCAGCACAACUCCUAGCCCAUAUUUAGAUGCAUCAGUCUGUAGUAAGAAACGUUUGCAGAAAUUAGGUGCCUGUAGUAUGGAAGAAUCAGUAAGGGCCUGUUUUAAGGAGUUAAAGGCUACUUCACACUCAGGUGUCUACUUAUUCAUUUGUGGGAGGAGUUCUUAGUGAUAUUGGUUAGGAGUUUGGCCAGGGUACUAAAGUGUGGUACAAAUCACCUGCUUUUUGGUCUGUGGGGAAGGCCAGACCAUUAUAGCCUCUACCUUACUGGGCUCUGGGCAAAGUGUCCCCCCUCCCACUUUGUGCCCCAAGUACUGAACCUCUGUCAUGCCCAGUUGGCACUUAUCUGGUUUUAUAGUGAGCCCAGCUGCUGCUACGUGGUCUACAACAUUUGUUAAAUGGAGUAGAUGUUACUCCCAAGUAUCACUGAACACUGCAAUUUCAUCCUGAUAAGCUACCGCAUGCUCCUCCUGUCCCUCUAGCAGGUGAUUAACUAGACAUCGGCAGGGGCAUUUUCAUUCUCAAAGGGCAUCACCUGGAACUCGUAUAACCCAAAGGGAGUGAUAAAGGCUGAUCUCUCUUGCGCUUCAGGAAUUCAUUGGGAUCUGCCAGUACCCUCAGCUGAGAUUCAUAAUACUAAAGAAUUUAGCCCCAGCUAGUUGGUCUACCAAUGCAUCAAUGUGUAGCAUAGGAUAUGCAUAGAAUGCAGUUACCAUAUUCAACCGCUGAUAGUCCACGCAGAACAUGGUGGUCUUGCCCUUCUUGGGAACUAGCUGUCAGGAUUGCGGAUUGAUCCAGCAAGCAGAAUUGUAUCACACUAGGACUAGGACCUUAGAAUGGCCGGACUUAACGUACCAAAGAAUAGUCAGGAUAAUUGCCGAGGUCGGGAGGCACAGAAUGGGACACAACGAUAAGGGAAAGCCACAAGUCAGGGAUACCAGAACACAGGGAAGUAAAAAAAAGACAAAGUUAAAAAACAGAAAUAAACGCUCAGGAACACACUCUCGUACAACCACUAGGGAAACCACGACAGGGCAAUGAGGAAAAGUAAAUUUGAGCUUAAGUGCUUUACAGCUCUGAUUGGCUGAAAACGGCCUUUGACCCCAAAACGUGGGCACGUCUCCCACGUGACGUCAUCAACGUGGGCAGACGUGGGGAUAUAAUUUGACGUGGAUCCGCAGCGGCUGGCAUCCAUCAACAUGUUGCAAGAGCCAGGGGCUGUGAGACUUCUGGAUUACACCCAGCUCCAGCAUUUCCUCUAUUUCCCUUCUAGUGUCAGCCUUCACCUCCAAGGAUACUCUAUAGGCAGCCUGUGUGAGGGGAUGGUGAUCCCCAGUGUCAACAUGAUGGGUUACUAGGUGUGUUCUGCCAGGCUUCCCUGUGAAAAAACUAUAGUAAGGUCUAAGGGCCUCAAAUAGCUGACUCCUCUGACCCUCAGUUAGGUGGGCAUUAACCUGGGCUACCUCAAUGCCCUCUAGAUUCCAGGUUGCAGCCAGUAAAUCCAGAUUCUUGCUCAUCCCCAGGCAAACUACAUACGGUUAACACAGUGGGCUCCCUGUCAUAAUAUGCUUUCAUCAUAUUUACGUGAUACACUUUUUUCCUCUUUCCCCCUUCACCCAGGGAUACCACAUGGUUCACAUCAUUGGCCCGCAUGCUGCCUGUAAUUUGAUCUGCCUCAUGGGUAUCAGCACAAGCACCUUUUGACCCACUUCAUACACUCUCUCAGGCAUCACGAUCAUACCACUGCUUCUGCUUGGAUUGGGCAGCUCUCAGAUUCUCACACAUCUCCCCCAUUAAAGCCUUCAUUUUAUCCCUAAACCGGAUUACAUAAUCCAAAAGAGAGUUCUUUGGGAUCCCCAACUCUCCUUCCCAUCCCUCUCAGAUUCUUGCCCAUCAGUGGGAAUAGUUUCCCUGUAUAAUCUCUUGUUUUCUCAGUACAAUCUAUCCCUGUCCCUGUCUGUGAGUGGCUGCCUAGCACAUUCUCUCAACACCUCUAAUGUAGGAUCUGUCUGCUGGGCCUGCUAGAAUUCUGGACUCUGCACCUUUGUCUCAGAGUCAACAGGGUGCUCUGAAACGGAUUCCUGCACCUGAACUACAAGAGGGGAGGGAGACAAGUUGCUUGACUUCCUGGUUUUCCCAUCAGGAUGUGGACAUGUGCUCUGAGUCUGCAGGCUGAGCCAGCCCCUGCUCCUGAUUCUGAUAAGACCGCUGCUGGGUUACCACAGCUACAGUUGAAACCUCUGUCCCUCCUGUCUUGGCACACUCUCACAUGAUAUUGCAGACACCUCUAGUUCUGGCACACAUGCUCACUCUGCCAUCCCUCCCAGCACAAUUAUCUACAUACAUCUUUACAUGAUUCCACUGACACCCCUGGUCCUGUCAUAGAUUGACACACAUUCUUACCUCUCUCCCAGCAAAGUUAUCCUGGCAAUCUUUCACCUGGUACCCCAGACAUCUCUGUCUUGGCAGAGAUGGACAUGCACAGUCACUCUGCCCUCCCUCCCAGCAAGGUAAUCUAGGUAAACAUUUACACACUGCCCUCUCCACAGCAGGGCCCCUACAGGACUUGGGUUGCGAUCACAUAUCAUUCUCAGGCACAUACAAGGAUAACAACCUGCCUAAAUCAGUACCAAGCAAUACAUUUGUAGGAAUAUUAUCCGAUAUUCCCAUUCCUCACUCAGAAAAUUGGUGUUGCAGGAUGUAUUCCCCCAAUCCCUUUUACGGCUAAAGUUCUGCCAGUGAUGAAGUCCUCUGGAUGCACAAGAGUAACGUCUGCCCCAGUGUCCCAUAGUUACCUUUUCUCCCACUGUAACAGGUUGCAGGUUCACAUUGUUGCUGCUCUAGGACUCGGUCACAAACAACAUAGAAGAUGGGGCUCCUGCUGGCGACCCUCUCCAGAUGAGAGUACUGGCCUCCUUUUCUCUGGGCAGGUAUUACUAAAGUGCCACAUUUUAUUGCAAAUAAAGCAUCUGCGGCUAUCUCCAUGCGCAGAAGUGGCACUAGCUCAUGCUAGGCCUGGUGAUAGGGACUCGUGGUGGUGUGGUCUUCCAGCUGGAUGCUCCCUUGUCAAACCUUUGCUUCGGUCCACUGUUGCUAGAUUGGCAGUGUGGAAAUCUGCCAGCUCACCUGCCUCCAAUGCGGUUUUGGAGUUUCGGUCCAGCAGCCAUUCCUUUACAUCAGCUGGGCAGAGCUACAAAAACUGUUCUUUAAUGACCAAAUCUUCCAAACUUGUUAGGGUUUUAAUCUCCAGCCCUCUAGUCCACUGUUGGAAUGCUGUCACCAGGUGUUCAACAACUGCUGCAAAACUUUCUGUACACCUCAGGAGUAAGGUUGCAAGGUUGCGCCGGGUUGGGGCCCUAAAUAACAAGAGGGGGACCUAUUGGCCUCCCCCAACCCCACUUCUAAACGGCGGGUGGAGGGCCCUAAAUAACAAUAAGGGGGGGACCUAUUGUCCUCCCCUCUGGCCCCCACCCAUGAGCAGCAGGUGGGUGCCCUAAAUGAAAAUGUUAACCCCCCCCCAGUUGACUAGAGAGAACAAGAGAACAAAAUACCUGUAAAAAAAUAAAUAAAACUUACCAUCUGAUGUCUUCUUUUUUGUAAAAUCUUAUUUUUUCUGCCCCAAAAAAGGCCAAAUAAAAAUCCAUAAUACGCGUCGAACUUUGAAAAAAAAUUUAUUAUAAAAUCCGAGAGCAAAAAUAAGUCUGACGAAAAAAAAACAACCCGACGCUAAAAAAGUAAUCCAUCUUCAACCAUAGAGGGCAAGGCGCAGACUUCCCAUGCCCUGCAAUUAGGCUCAGAGCGCUCUGAUUGGUUGGAUUAAGCCAAGCCACGCCUCCAAAUUUACCUUUCACAGCACUCUGAUUGGUUAGCUUGAAAUCCAACCAGACUGUGUCAUUUUACACGACAUGGGGGAAAGUUCUUUGGAAUUUUUCCAUGCUGUGUAAUUUGACUCAUAACUCUCUGAUUGGUUGAUUAAACCAGUGCUG